rnacentral:rRNA from 1 species
ACGUAGGGGGCGAGCGUUAUUCGGAAUUACUGGGUGUAAAGGGUAUGUAGGCGGCCCUUCAAGUCGCGUGUCAAAGUCCAGUGCUCAACGCUGGGUGUGCGCGCGAUACUGACGGGCUUGAGGGCUGGAGAGGUGAGCGGAAUUCCCGGUGUGGUGGUAAAAAGCGGGUGGUGCGGUAAGAAAAACGACCGCGGGGGGGGAUCACUAUAUUGUUUCUUUUUCUCAUAUGCUUAGGUGUGUGUAGAACCCAG